rnacentral:rRNA from 1 species
AAACCAGCACCUCAAGUGGUCAGGAUGAUUAUUGGGCCUAAAGCAUCCGUAGCCGGCUCUGUAAGUUUUCGGUUAAAUCUGUACGCUCAACGUACAGGCUGCUGGGAAUACUGCAGAGCUAGGGAGUGAGAGAGGUAGACGGUACUCGGGAGGAAGUGGUAAAAUGCUUUGAUCUCUCGAUGACCACCUGUGGCGAAGGCGGUCUACCAGAACACGUCCGACGGUGAGGGAUGAAAGCUGGGGGAGCAAACCGGAUUAGAAACCCGAGUAGUCC